rnacentral:rRNA from 1 species
UGACGGUACUUGACUAAGAAGCCCCGGCUAACUACGUGCCAGCAGCCGCGGUAAUACGUAGGUGGCAAGCGUUAUCCGGAUUUAUUGGGCGUAAAGAGAGUGCAGGCGGUUUCUUAAGUCUGAUGUGAAAGCCUUCGGCUCAACCGAAGAAGUGCAUCGGAAACUGGGAAACUUGAGUACAGAAGAGGGCAGUGGAACUCCAUGUGUAGCGGUGGAAUGCGUAGAUAUAUGGAAGAACACCAGUGGCGAAGGCGGCUGCCUGGUCUGUAACUGACGCUGAGACUCGAAAGCAUGGGUAGCGAACAGGAUUAGAUACCCUG